rnacentral:rRNA from 1 species
UGAGGAAUAUUGCCCAAUGGACGCAAGUCUGAGGCAGCAACGCCGCGUGGGCGAUGAAGGCCUUCGGGUUGUAAAGCCCUUUUCUGGGGGAAGAGGAAGGACGGUACCUCAGGAAUAAGUCACGGCUAACUACGUGCCAGCAGCCGCGGUAAUACGUAGGUGGCAAGCGUUAUCCGGAUUCACUGGGCGUAAAGCGCGUGCAGGCGGUUUCGUAAGUCGGACGUGAAAGCUCCUGGCUUAACUGGGAGAGGUCGUUCGAUACUGCGGGGCGUGAGGUCGGGAGAGGGACGUGGAAUUCCCGGUGUAGUGGUGAAAUGCAUAGAUAUCGGGAGGAACACCAGUGGCGAAGGCGACGUCCUGGCCCGCACCUGACGCUGAGACGCGAAAGCGUGGGUAGCG